GACGAACGCUGGCGGCGUGCUUAACACAUGCAAGUCGAACGGAAAGGCCCUGCUUUUGUGGGGUGCUCGAGUGGCGAACGGGUGAGUAACACGUGAGUAACCUGCCCUUGACUUUGGGAUAACUUCAGGAAACUGGGGCUAAUACCGGAUAGGAGCUCCUGCUGCAUGGUGGGGGUUGGAAAGUUUCGGCGGUUGGGGAUGGACUCGCGGCUUAUCAGCUUGUUGGGGGGGUAGUGGCUUACCAAGGCUUUGACGGGUAGCCGGCCUGAGAGGGUGACCGGCCACAUUGGGACUGAGGUACGGCCCAGACUCCUACGGGAGGCAGCAGUGGGGAAUAUUGCACAAUGGGCGGAAGCCUGAUGCAGCAACGCCGCGUGCGGGAUGCCGGCCUUCGGGUUGUAAACCGCUUUCGCCUGUGACGAAGCGUGAGUGACGGUAAUGGGUAAAGAAGCACCGGCUAACUACGUG
rnacentral:rRNA from 1 species